AAGUUUUUCGCUUCGAGAUGGGCUCGCNGUCCAUCAGCUAGUUGGUGAGGUAACGGCUCACCAAUGCAGCGACGGAUAGGUGGUCUGAGAUGAUGGUCACCCACACUGGGACUGAGACACUGGGCAGAGUAGUACGGGANGCUGCAGUCGAGAAUCUUCCGGAAUGCGCGAAAGCGUGACGGAGCGAUGCCGCGUGCCGGAUGAACGCCUUCGGGUCGUAAACGGCUGUCACCCGGAACGAAUAUUGACGGUACCGGGAGAGGAAGCCACGGCUAACUACGUGCCAGCAGCCGCGGUAAUACGUAGGUGGCUAGCGUUAUUCGGAUUUAUUGGGCGUAAAGGGUUCGUAGGGGGCCGAGUAAGUCUGAUGUGAAAUCCAACGGAUCAACCGUUGAACUGCAUUGGACUACUACCCGGCUAGAGUACUGGAGAGGUAAGCAGAAUUCCUGGUGUAGCGGUGGAAUGCGUAGAUAUCAGGAGGAAUACCGACGGCGAAGGCCGCUUACUGGACAGUUACUGAACCUCAUGAACGAAAGCU
rnacentral:rRNA from 1 species